rnacentral:rRNA from 1 species
UACGUAGGGACCGAGCGUUGUCCGGAAUCAUUGGGCGUAAAGAGCGUGUAGGCGGCCUUUUAAGUCCUGCGUGAAAUCCUGCGGCUCAACCGCAGACGGUCGUGGGAAACUGGAAGGCUAGAGUGCCGGAGGGGGUGGCGGAAUUCCCGGUGUAGAGGUGAAAUUCGUAGAUAUCGGGAGGAACACCUGUGGCGAAGGCGGCCACCUGGACGGUAACUGACGCUGAGACGCGAAAGCGUGGGUAGCAAACAGG